GCAAUUAGAUGCAAUCAUUGCAGCUUCCGUGUCCCUCAAAUCUUCAUCAAAGCUGAAGAAGAUGUUAGAGAUCAUCUUGGCCUUUGGGAACUACAUGAACAGCAGUAAAAGAGGAGCAGCGUAUGGGUUCCGUCUGCAGAGCCUUGACCUGGUUUUUCAAAUGUUUCAGAUUACUCCCCCCACCGC